UACGGAGGGUGCGAGCGUUUGUCCGGAAUCAUUGGGCGUAAAGGGCGCGUAGGUGGCGCGGGAAGUCAACGGUGAAAGUUCGGGGCUCAACCCUGAAUCGGCCGUCGAUACUCCCGGGCUCGAGCACUGUAGAGGCAGAUGGAAUUCCGGGUGUAGCGGUGGAAUGCGUAGAGAUCCGGAAGAACACCGGUGGCGAAGGCGGUCUGCUGGGCAGUUGCUGACACUGAUGCGCGACAGCGUGGGGA
rnacentral:rRNA from 1 species